rnacentral:lncRNA from 1 species
CUUGGCUUCAGGAAGGAACAAUUCAUUUCAAUACCAUCCAGCAGCUGGAUCUUUUCUGUAGAUAUGAGGACAGAUGGUCUGAGGCCCCAUAUGUGCAGGCUUUCUUUACCUUGCAGGGUAAUCCAGACAUUUGCCGACACUGUAGGAUUGAUCCAGACCUCCUGUUUGCCAUCUCAGGAGAGGCUGCAAGAAACAAUCCCAGAGCAGAUGAAAAGAAGAGCAGAAAAGUGGCAGAACAGUGAGGCAGAGAAGGAGAGAAGAGAAGGAGCAUCUGAACAUCUAGAGUUCAGCUGGGGACUGUCAGAGAGAAGAUCAGCCACUGGACGGCCAAACUCCAGGGGAAGAUCAUCUUCCCACUUCAUCCCCUCUCCAGCUUCCUAUCCAUCCCACUGAGAGCCACCUCCAUCACCCAGUAAAAU